UCAGCCCUACGGGGGGCAGCAGUGAGGAAUAUUGGUCAAUGGGAGAGAUCCUGAACCAGCCAAGCCGCGUGAGGGAAGACGGCCCUAUGGGUUGUAAACCUCUUUUGUCGGAGAACAAAACCCGGGACGUGUCCCGGACUGCGUGUAUCCGAAGAAAAAGCAUCGGCUAACUCCGUGCCAGCAGCCGCGGUAAUACGGAGGAUGCGAGCGUUAUCCGGAUUUAUUGGGUUUAAAGGGUGCGUAGGCGGAUUUUUAAGUCAGCGGUAAAAUGUCCGGGCUCAACCCGGGCCGGCCGUUGAAACUGG
rnacentral:rRNA from 1 species